rnacentral:tRNA from 1 species
CAGGUAUGAUGUAAUUGGUAAACAUGUUAGAUUUAGAUCCUAAUGAAACUAAAAAUCGUGAGGGUUCGAAUCCCUCUAUCUGUAA